CCUACGGGAGGCAGCAGUGGGGAAUAUUGCACAAUGGGGGAAACCCUGAUGCAGCGACGCCGCGUGAAGGAUGAAGUAUUUCGGUAUGUAAACUUCUAUCAGCAGGGAAGAAAAUGACGGUACCUGACUAAGAAGCCCCGGCUAACUACGUGCCAGCAGCCGCGGUAAUACGUAGGGGGCAAGCGUUAUCCGGAUUUACUGGGUGUAAAGGGAGCGUAGACGGCAUGGCAAGUCUGAUGUGAAAGCCCGGGGCUCAACCCCGGCGAGCCGUUGAAACUGGCUGUCUUGAGAUGUCGAGAGGUAUGCGGAAUGCGCAGUGUAGCGGUGAAAUGCUUAGAUAUUGCGCAGAACUCCGAUUGCGAAGGCAGCAUACCGGCGGCGAUCUGACGCUGAGGCACGAAAGCGUGGGUAUCGAACAGGAUUAGAUACCCUUGUAGUC
rnacentral:rRNA from 1 species